GACGAACGCUGGCGGCGUGCCUAACACAUGCAAGUCGAACGGAAAGGCCCUGCUUUUGCUCGGUGCUCGUUUGGCGAACGGGUGUGUAACACGUGUGUAUCCCGCACCUGACUUUGGGAUAACUUCUGGAAACUGGGGCUAUUACCCCAUAGGAGCUCUUGCUCCACGGUGUGGGUUGGUGAGAUUCGGCGGUUGUGGAUGGACUCGCGGCUUAUCAGCCUGUUGGUCGGGUAGUGGCUUACCAGGGGUUUGACGGGUAGCCGACCUGAGAGGGUGACCGGCCACAAGGGGACUGCGAGACGGAGCAGUAGCGUACGGGAGGCAACGGUGGAGAGUCUUACACAGUAGGGGGAAGCGAGAUACAGCGACGCCGCGUGCGGGAUGACGGCCUUCUGGUUGUAAACAAAUGUCGCCUGAGACGAGGAGGGAGUGACGGUAAUGGGUAAAGAAGCACCGGCUAACUACGUG
rnacentral:rRNA from 1 species